AGGAAGACAAAGGAGUGGACAUUUCCGGGACGUACGGCGCGCACUGUGACACGGAGGUCGCAUCUAACUCCCCACACCCCCUGCCGGCAGGUGCUGAGAGUUGGAGGUCACAGCCUAAGUCAGUGACGGAGCUGGGAUUUGAACUCCACACCCCUCAUCUCUCCCCGCUGCCAUGCUGACCAUCCUGGCACGCAGCAAGGGCAGGUAGCAGGUACCUACAAUGUGCCAGACACUCUGGGGAGACGCUGGUGGCUACUGUCCAGUGGGGGACGGAUGUGAUUCAGUUGACAGUGGCACAGACGGGACGGUGGCCCAGAGUUUUUCCGAGGGUACCACAAGGGGACUUGACAUCAACUGGGGGUUCGGAAGGCUUCCCUGAGGGAGAGAUGUCCCAGCUGACCUGCCCCCGGGAGGCGGCCAGGGGAGGACCCGCCGCAGCGCCUUGUCGUGGGAAGGCACUGGGGACACGCCACAUGGGCACCAGCUGAGAGCUGCUUCGGAAGACUGUGCCGCGGCAUCUGUGCCGCGGCAAACAUGGGAAGACAGGACACAUUCUGUGUCCUGCUGUGUAUGGACUGCUCAGGCACAGAGCCGUGAGAACAGCAGAGGCUCGAUCAUCCGCCCUGCAGAGUCGCCUCCACUGCCAUCGACAGUAGAGCCUGCCUUUCUCCCUGCCCCCAGUGCCACCAGGAC